CCUACGGGAGGCAGCAGUGAGGAAUAUUGGUCAAUGGCCGAGAGGCUGAACCAGCCAAGUCGCGUGAGGGAAGACGGCCCUACGGGUUGUAAACCUCUUUUGUCGGGGAGCAAAGAGAGUCACGUGUGACUCAUUGAGAGUACCCGAAGAAAAAGCAUCGGCUAACUCCGUGCCAGCAGCCGCGGUAAUACGGAGGAUGCGAGCGUUAUCCGGAUUCAUUGGGCUUAAAGGGAGCGUAGGCGGGCGUUCAAGUCAGCUGUAAAAUCGCGCGGCUCAACCGCGCCCCGCAGUUGAAACUGGACGCCUUGAGUUCACAACAGGCAGGCGGAAUUCGUGGUGUAGCGGUGAAAUGCAUAGAUAUCACGAGGAACCCCGAUUGCGAAGGCAGCCUGCCGGGGUGCGACUGACGCUGAGGCUCGAAGGUGCGGGUAUCAAACAGGAUUAGAUACCCGGGUAGUC
rnacentral:rRNA from 1 species